CAACAGCUCAAUUUGAAAUCUGGCCCUAGGCCCGAGUUGUAAUUUGCAGAGGAUGCUUUUGGUGAGGUGCCUUCCAAGUUCCCUAGAACGGGACGCCAGAGAGGGUGAGAGCCCCGUACAGUUGGACACCAAGCCUUUGUAAAGCUCCUUCGACGAGUCGAGUAGUUUGGGAAUGCUGCUCAAAAUGGGAGGUAUAUUUCUUCUAAAGCUAAAUACCGGCCAGAGACCGAUAGCGCACAAGUAGAGUGAUCGAAAGAUGAAAAGCACUUUGAAAAGAGGGUUAAACAGCACGUGAAAUUGUUAAAAGGGAAGCGCUUGUGACCAGACUUGCGUCCGGUGAAUCACCCAGCUCUCGCGGCUGGGGCACUUCGCCGGCUCAGGCCAGCAUCAGCUCGCUGUCGGGGACAAAAGCUUCAGGAACGUAGCUCUCUUCGGGGAGUGUUAUAGCCUGUUGCACAAUACCCUUCGGCGGGCUGAGGUACGCGCUCCGCAAGGAUGCUGGCAUAAUGGUCAUCAGCGACCCGUCUUG
rnacentral:rRNA from 1 species